GAUCUGUUUAGCUAACUGAUGGAGCUAACAGGUGGAGCUAACAGGUUUAGCUAACAGGUGGAGCUAACAGGUUUAGCUAACAGGUUUAGCUAACAGGUGGAGCUAACAGGUGGAGCUAACAGGUUUAGCUAACAGGUUUAGCUAACAGGUGGAGCUAACAGGUUUAGCUAACAGGUGGAGCUAACAGGUGGAGCUAACAGGUUUAGCUAACAGGUGGAGCUAACAGGUUUAGCUAACAGGAUUAGCUAACAGGUGGAGCUAACAGGUUUAGCUAACAGGUUUAGCUAACAGGUUUAGCUAACAGGUAGAGCUAACAGGUUUAGCUAACAGGUGGAGCUAACAGGUUUAGCUAACAGGUUUAGCUAACAGGUGGAGCUAACAGGUUUAGCUAACAGGUUUAGCUAACAGGUGGAGCUAACAGGUGGAGCUAACAGGUGGAGCUAACAGGUUUAGCUAACAGGUUUAGCUAACAGGUGGAGCUAACAGGUUUAGCUAACAAGUUUAGCUAACAGGUGGAGCUAACAGGUUUAGCUAACAGGUGGAGCUAACAGGUUUAGCUAACAGGUUUAGCUAACAGGUGGAGCUAACAGGUUUAGCUAACAGGUGGAGCUAACAGGUUUAGCUAACAGGUUUAGCUAACAGGUGGAGCUAACAGGUUUAGCUAACAGGUUUAGCUAACAGGUGGAGCUAACAGGUUUAGCUAACAGGUUUAGCUAACAGGUGGAGCUAACAGGUUUAGCUAACAGGUGGAGGCCUCAUUCACAGGUUCUGGUUGGGACUGAAUGGUGAAAACUUCAACGUAACAAACCUGAUGAACGACUCGAUCUGCUUCAGUAGGAAAAUCUUUCGGUUCCUGUUAUUAUUAACUGAGUUUCUGUCUGAUUGUUGUGUGAAGCAGGAGAUCCGGUCAGUUUCUCUGGCCUCGGCGUUACAGUGAAGUCACUGAGUUGGUUCUUCGUCUCUCAUGACGAUCCGUGUCUCUGCUGUCUGCUCUGUAAGUAGAUUAUCAAACUCUGAAUGAAUGAAUGAAUGAAUGAGUACAAACUGGACCUGAGUUCGGCUCCAGGCUCUUUCUCAGUGAGCAGAGACUUGGAAUAAAUACUGAUUAGAAAAUAUUCUCUCUCUGGUUCUUUGGGCUUGAAACAGUUCUAUGGCAAGCCGUUUUAACAUAAAUUCGGUUUCGUCUGACUAUCCGUAAUUACAUCCUAGAUAUCUAAAAAUGCAUUUUGACUAGACAAAAUUACAUUUUGACUAUCUGGAAUGGUAAUUUAAGAUAUCUGUAUUUACAAUAUGACUAGGAAGAAUAAUAAUUUAAGACAUUUUCAAUUACAUUUUGACGAGUCAAAAUUCCUUUCAAGAUAUCUCAAAUUACGACGCUGGAUCCGUCAUUUGACGGGAAACAUCCGUAUUUACAAUUUAAGAUAUCUUAAAUGGAAAAGCUGAAUAAUUCAAGAUAUCUCUAAUUCAUUUAGAGAGGAAUUUUGACUAAUCAAACUUACAAUUCAAGAUAUUUUUUAUUUAGUUUUGUCUACACUUUAUUUGCUUUUAAGAUAUCUAUAAUUUAGUUUUCACUAGUCAAAACUACA